CCUACGGGGGGCAGCAGUGGGGAAUAUUGGACAAUGGGGGCAACCCUGAUCCAGCCAUGCCGCGUGUGUGAAGAAGGCCCUCGGGUUGUAAAGCACUUACAGUGAGGAAGAACGCCUGGUGGUUAAUACCCAUCAGGAAAGACAUCACUCACAGAAGAAGCACCGGCUAACUCCGUGCCAGCAGCCGCGGUAAUACGGAGGGUGCGAGCGUUAAUCGGAAUUACUGGGCGUAAAGCGCGCGUAGGUGGCUUGAUAAGCCGGUUGUGAAAGCCCCGGGCUCAACCUGGGAACGGCAUCCGGAACUGUCAAGCUAGAGUGCAGGAGAGGAAGGUAGAAUUCCCGGUGUAGCGGUGAAAUGCGUAGAGAUCGGGAGGAAUACCAGUGGCGAAGGCGGCCUUCUGGACUGACACUGACACUGAGGUGCGAAAGCGUGGGUAGCAAACAGGAUUAGAUACCCUUGUAGUC
rnacentral:rRNA from 1 species